rnacentral:rRNA from 1 species
UACGAAGGGGGCUAGCGUUGCUCGGAAUGACUGGGCGUAAAGGGCGCGUAGGCGGCGAUCAAGGUCAGAUGUGAAAUUCCUGGGCUUAACCUGGGGGCUGCAUUUGAUACGUGGUGGCUUGAGUGCGGAAGAGGGUCGUGGAAUUCCCAGUGUAGAGGUGAAAUGCGCAGAUAUCAGGAAGAACACCCGUGGCGAAAGCGGCUCUCUGGAACGGUACUGACGCUGAGACGCGAAAGCGUGGGGAGCGAACAGG